rnacentral:lncRNA from 1 species
UCCUGCUGGAGCUGGGAGCACCCAAGGCAGACAGCCGGGCUCCCAGGAGGAGAGACCUAGGGAGCUCACCCUCCACCGGGCUAGUCUUCGGCUCUUAGGAGCCUCAGCUUCCUCCUCCCUGAAUGGAGGGGCAUCGCCCAGCCUCACAGAUCUCCAGAGACACUUGGCACAGCUCAGGAGGGGCAGUCCCGACCUCCACGUCCCGCUCCCAGCCCACCUUUACCACCCAGGCCUUGGCUCCCCCUCCCGUGUGCACAGGAAGGGUCUCUCCCUUGGAGCUGACCCUCUCGGCUGGCCUGUGGGCAGUGCAGCUCCUCUGUUCCCCCCCUCCAUUGUGGCUCCCACCCUCAGUUCCUGAAAAUCCUCCACGUCCUUCGCCCAGUCUCCUGCCCACAGCACAGCACGGCAGGCUCAGUGGACAAUGGCACCCCCAGUCGGGGAUUGGUCCUGGUGGGGUGGGGUCAGAGGUCCCAAGGGCAGUGGGGACCCUGAGCUUGCUAGCAGUGGCUCCUGAGAGGAGCUCCCGGGACACCAGCUCAUCUUGAGAGGAGGGGCCUCUGGAGAAGGGACAGGACCACAGGUGGCCUGUGGGAAGGGAGCUGGGCUCUCCCUCUGUGACCUGCUGCAGAGGCCCAGUCCAUCCGAAGCAGAGGAGGCAGGGAGGUUCCGGAUGGCAGGAGGGAGCCUUCAGGUCUACGGAAGCUCUCUGCCACCUCAGGGCUUGUACAUGCUGUCCCCCCACCUGAUCAGCUUGCCACCCCAACACACACACACACACACACACACACACUCCUCUUCCCGUUUAGGCCUCAGGCUGCCAUUACUCCUGAGACUCCCCAUGGACCUGUCACGUGUUCUGCUAGGACAGCCCUGGGUGCCCCCAGGCUGGCUUGCCUCUCCUCUGACUGAGGGAACACAGCUCUCAUGUCUCCAAGAGCUGGGGGAUCAGGGCUGGGCAGGGUCCUUCUCCAGUGAGGGGCUGCAGGCAUGUGUAGGAGGCUUGCAUUUGGAGGAUGAAGGAAAAGUGGGGAAUCCCACACAGAGAUCAGCACUGGGGGGUGACCUUCAGACCCUGAAAGGGCUCCAUCAGGCCAUCUGGGCUGUGGAGUUGAGUGCAGGCAGCUGACAGGGUGUUGGUCAGUGGGUCUGGGAGUCUGGACUUUGUCCAAGGCAAGAGGGAACAAUGAGGCUGAGGCAGAGGACCACGGAUCCGACGAGUGAGCUUUGCAGGUGUGGACAAAGAAGGGGCAGUGGGCCAGGGCCAUGUUCCUCAGAGGCCUGGGUACUUGGAUUGGAAGUGGGGUCAGCAGCUCAGUGGCUACUGGGAUGCAGUGUGGCCAUUGAGGCCAUGUCCACCUUCUUGCUUGAGCCUCUGGUUGGUAGAGAACAGGAGCAACCUGAGGCAAGAUACCUUGGAGGGGGACCAGCCUGGAGGGGCGGCUUCUUGACCUGGGAUCCAUGCACGGGGGCCACUAGAAGCUGUCCACUCUCGAGGAGCAAGAACCAGGCCUGACAUCCCUGCCAUAGGCAGUGGGCUCCUCAAAUCAGCCUCCAGCCUCGGAUUGGCCUGCUGUGUCCCUGCGUGGGUCUGGCUGGGGUUUCCCAGCCAACAAGGAGAUGCCGUGUGCCGGUGGCCUCUGGGGAGUCGCAUCUGGGGUCGGUGCAGGGAGGCCGAGCCCGUGACACACGACUGCCCAGGCUGGCGGAGUGAGUGCCCCGAAUGCACGCUAACGCGAGCCCCAUGUGCCUGGGGAGCCCGUCUUGUCAUCCCCUGUGCCGGGGCUGUCAGCGCACAUCUGGCUUAAAUGAGCUCCCCAAGAAAAUGUGUGAAAUCUGACAGGCACAUUCGGAGUGGCCCAGGGGACCGCGUGAGGGCACCAGAAGGGGACACGGAGUUGCCCUCCCUAGAUGGGCGCCUCUGAGGAAGGCCCUGCUUGCAGCCCUGGUAGAGGCCCCUGGACAGGGAAGACCCCUGGAGCCCAUGGAGCAGGAAGGGGCAGGUCCCGGUGGUGUCAGGCCCCCCACCAAGGUCGGUGGACGGUGGCCUCCUCCUGCCUUCCUUCCCCUGUCCCCGUGCUGCCCCCACCCCUACAGCCUGCCCAGCCCUGCCCUAGGCCAGGAGCCACACACACGCCUUGGCUGGUCUUCCCCUGGUGCCUUGGCCCACCAUGGCAUCCCGAUGGUGUCCUGGGCCGGGCUGUACUCCUCUCCCCUUGGGUGUCGGUUCAGCCUGUGUGUGUUGGGUACCUUUAGGGGCUAGGGGACACGGUGACAAACACCACAGCUGGGGCCUCAGCAGACAGCCACUGUCCCCAGUCCUGGGAACCGAAACCCCAGAAUCCAGGGGCCUCAAGCUGCCUCCUCCUGGGGCUUCCCUCCUCGACUAGCAGACAUACCCCCCACUGUGUCCUCAGAGCCUCUGUGUGUCUGUUAAGGACCCCAGUCACGGCCUUCGCCGGCGGGUGGGAGGGGACAUGUGCACCUGAUCCCAGAGUCUGUCUGGGGCUCUGCCCUCGAGGCCUGUGAGUGGAGUACAGGAGGCCUGCAAGCUGCCCGGGGAGAUGCCAGAGGGGAGCCCAGCCCCCUCUUCCCUCAGGCUCACCCAGUGCCCCCAAAUCUGAAGGAAGCCCCUGAGCACCCAUCCUGGGGACGCUAGGGCCCAGACAAGCCUUGGCUUCAAUCCAGGGCCUCAUGGGGUACAGGCUGACAGAGCUGGGUGGGAGAGAGUGCCCAGAACCUAGAGACCCCCGACCCCAGGCCCACGGGCCCCAGGGCCGCAGGAAUGUGAGGAGCCCAUGGGACCCCUGGGCGCCAGUUCUUUCCAAGUCUCCUUGUGCCUUGUACCCAUUUGGGCUUGGGAGGGCCUGGGGCAUCUCUGGGGUUAGAGGGCCACCCCCUGUACUAGAGGAGGCUCUGGGGGUGAGAGGUGUUGGGCUGGGAGGAAGCCCCCCAGGCUGGCCCCUGUGGGGAUCAGUGCAAGUCCUGGACACGGAGGGUUUCCUUGGGCAGUUCAUGCUGGCCUCUUUGGGCACCAUCCCAGCCGCAGUAUGAAAGCCCCGCAGCCCCUUCCAGACACCCCUGUGUAGUCGUGGCCCAGAGCAAAGGGUGGCCUCUUGUGCUUCCUCAUCUGCCACAUGGUGUGGCUACCCUGGGGGCCUCCCUGGGCCAGUCACAUGGCUAUGUGCCCAGACGGGGCAGGGUAGGGCUGCGGGAUGAUGGGGGAUAAAAUGCCCCAGGCUCAGAGAACCCUUAGGCACCGUGGGAGCCCAGGUCAGCCUUAGACUACCCCUGAAGUGCCCGCCAUGGGUAGCCAGGAAGCAAUGUCCUGCCCCUCUGCUGGCCCUUCCUGGGGUGUCCCAAGUGCCCCUGGCCUGGUUUCCAUACUAAAGGGCUUUCAGAAGGCCAGGAGGAGGAACCAGGGCUACCAAGUCUCAUCAGGGGGAGGGCCCGCCUUUGGCCGAGGACAGUUUGGGCGUGGGGUGCAGAUUUUACAGGGGCCGUAGAGGCUAGAUCUUGAAGCCAUCUGGACCUGCCCCUCAGGGCAUGGCGGGGGGCCAACGUGGAGAGCUGGGAAGAUCCUGUGCUGGGCGGGUACAAGUGGGUCCCUGUCUGUCACCUCUGUGUCCCAAAACCUGCUUUCCUGGGCAUGUGUCCAUCACACAGGGGCCUGGGAGCCGGCUACAGGCUUG